GUCAGCCGCCGCGGUAACACCGGCGGCCCGAGUGGUGAUCGUGAUUAUUGGGUCUAAAGGGUCCGUAGCCGGUUUGGUCAGUCCUCCGGGAAAUCUGAUAGCUCAACUAUUAGGCUUUCGGGGGAUACUGCCAGACUUGGAACCGGGAGAGGUAAGAGGUACUACAGGGGUAGGAGUGAAAUCUUGUAAUCCCUGUGGGACCACCUGUGGCGAAGGCGUCUUACCAGAACGGGUUCGACGGUGAGGGACGAAAGCUGGGGGCACGAACCGGAUUAGAUACCCGGGUAGUCCCAGCCGUAAACGAUGCUCGCUAGGUGUCAGGCACGGCGCGACCGUGUCUGGUGCCGCAGGGAAGCCGUGAAGCGAGCCACCUGGGAAGUACGGCCGCAAGGCUGAAACUUAAAGGAAUUGGCGGGGGAGCACAACAACGGGUGGAGCCCUGCGGUUUAAUUGGACUCAACGCCGGACAACUCACCGGGGGCGACAGCAAUAUGUAGGCCAAGCUGAAGACUUUGCCUGAAUCGCUGAGAGGAGGUGCAUGG
rnacentral:rRNA from 1 species